GUAGAAUUCAGUUGCAGUUACAGCCUGUCGCCACUAGAUGGGGGUCGAGAGCGGCGUGUUAGCUCUCCGCCUUGGGGCAAGAUGGCUGCGCCCACUGGCUUUGCUGGGAGGGGAGUGGCUGUUACUCACACGCGCUGGUCUGGGUUCAGAUCAGUUCUGUUCUCUGGUCUCCCAAAGCCCUUGAUUUAUGGGGUCCCCGCGGACGGAAGCUUUCCCCCCGUCAGCGGGUCUCCACUGAAUCAGCGGCAGGAGUCCUGGAUGAUCCCCUGGUCGCACGGCCCCUCCCCCGCUCCUUCCCGACCAGCACCGCAGCGAUGGCAGACUCUAGGGGAGGGAGCGAUGUUCUCUCUUACCGUUCCAGCGCCUCCGAAGGUGUAAGCAAAGUUUAUGAUCUCUGCCUUCUUGGUAUUGUAGGUCUCUAACGAGCUGGCAUUAUUUUUGUUCUCUGAAAUUCAGUUCUUCCAAUCUUUUGUUGUAUUUUGGAGGGGAGAGAAUCCUGGGUCAGCUCACCCCACCAUUUUGCUCCAAGAAAAAAAAAACUCUUUGUCCAUUUCUAUUGGUCAUCCAUGUGGAGAGAGUCACAUUUCUCCCUGAAAAAAAAAAAAAAGAGUUGGAAAUAAUCUGAUACCAAAAAAAGUGUCCAAAUCCUUCUGGGUGAUGAUGAUGGCACUCAAGUGGAUGUCUGUUCAAGGUGGGUGAAGGCGACUGUUUUUGAGAACUUUUCAUGCAAAAUCAAGAUCAGAAGGCACCUCCUGCACCUCUCACAAUGUUGGGAUGGAUGAAGGACAGAAAUAGAGGAAAUUUGGACACAGAGACAGAGACUCAGGGAGAAUGCCAUGUUUAUGCUGCCAGAAACCAAGGAACACCACAGAAGCCAGGAGAGAGGCCUGGAACAGAUGAUUCCUCACAACCGACCCUGUUAACACUUGAUCUCAGACUUUCAGCCUCCAGGACUGUAAGACAAUAAAUUCCUCUUUGUUUUAAGACACUCAGUUUGUGUGACAUUGUUAUGGCAGCUGUAGCAAACUAAUACACUACACUUAAAAAGUAAAGUAAACAGAUGACUUUAUUUUGUUUUAUUUAAAAUAUUAUAAUUUCAAUAUGUGACAAAUAAAAUUAUUAAUGAGAUAUUUACACUCUUUUUCUCAUUACUAGUCUUUGGAACCUGGUAUGUGUUUUACACUUCAGCACAUGUCCAACUCGGACUCGCCCCAUUUCAAGUGCUCAGUAGCCACACGUGGGCAGCGGCUCCCACCUAGGACAGUGAUGAACUGAAG
rnacentral:lncRNA from 1 species